CCGUACUGCAAUAUAAUCACCAACACACAGGUGACUCAGAAGGAGAGAUGAUGAAGGUGGGAAUACUGACACUUUUGUUGCUGUCUCUCUGGACAUGUGAUUGCAAGUCAUUGCAGACCGAUUCAGACACUCUGAUUGAGCUUUUGGAGCUCCUCCAGUCAGUGGGUUAUCAGGUGCCAGGAGGUGAAGAGGGGCCCAUGCUGGAGACAACCAGAGAGAAUGCAGCAUGGCCCAGUGCUGAGCUGGAGAAGAGAGAUCUCCCAAGGAUGGGUGCCUCUAUGUACAACAGACCUUACGCUGAACAAGGCAGCAGCAGAAAGUCUAAUACAAAGUAUCCGCCUGCUUUUCCAAUGGAGCGUAUGAAUGGUGUCCGGGGUUGAUGGACUGUCUUACAAAACAAUGAGAUUAUACCACAGUAUCAUUUUCUGACUAAUUGGAUCUGCCAAAUGUCUGCUUCUCAGACCUACAGUGAACAGUACGACUCCUUUGCAUGUCUUCUACAAUGAAUCCCAUCCCCUUAUGACUCAAAUAAAG
ensembl:lncRNA